rnacentral:rRNA from 1 species
UACGGAGGUGGCAAGCGUUGCUCGGAAUCACUGGGCGUAAAGGGCGCGUAGGCGGGGAGGUAAGUCGGGUGUGAAAUCCCUCGGCCCAACCGAGGAACUGCGCCCGAGACUGCUUCUCUUGAGUCCCGGAGAGGAAGAUGGAAUUCCCGGUGUAGCGGUGAAAUGCGCAGAUAUCAGGAGGAACACCAAUAGCGAAGGCAGCUCGCUGGGACGGUACUGACGCUGAGGAACGAAAGCCAGGGGAGCGAACGGG